UUCCACUUUUUUUUCUCCAACUCCCGAGUCGAUGACGUUACCAAGUAGCACCGCCCACGCCGGAAGUUCACCUUCAAACCAAAGGCUCAUCCAAAUUCGUUUUGUCAGUUGACUGCAGAAGCAACGACACCAGAAACCAAACCGCAGAAACCCCGCCCGGGUCCUGACCCUCCCAACCACUACCACCACUAUCAGUAUCCGCCUCGUGUUGAACAGAGCAGUGUGUGCUUCCCCCUAGCGGCCGGCUGGUGCCACAACACGGUCCAGGUUCACCAGUACUGUACUGGAUGGUGUCUUCUGUGUCCUGUGUGGUUUGUGUUGUACUUAGCAUUGUGUAGCAUCUUAUACAAGCUAAAUUUAGUACUUAGCGAUAUAGCAUCUUAUCCUAGCUAUCCUUAGUACUAAGCAUUGUGUAGCAUCUUAUCCUAGAUAUCUCUGUUGUAUACAGGGAAUGGGUUAACCUAGUGAUUCUUAGUGGUUAGAACUUGAUUCUACUAACAUCUUUACUGUACCGACAGAGAUAUAUUGUUUCUAUUUUUUUUGAUAAAUUGACUUAAAAGCAUCUGCUAAAUGACCUUAAUGUAAAUGUUGUCCUUCAUGUAGUAUUCAUGAGGGAUAUAAUGUGUUUUAAGUCCUGUCUGCAACACAUUUUCUCUAGUGUAAUAAAACCGCUUGCCUUGACUCCUCA